rnacentral:rRNA from 14 species
UUGAAGAGUUUGAUCAUGGCUCAGAUUGAACGCUGGCGGCAGGCUUAACACAUGCAAGUCGAGGGGUAACAGGGUUUUCGGACUGCUGACGACCGGCGCACGGGUGCGUAACGCGUAUGAAACCUACCUUAUACAGGGGGAUAGCCCAGAGAAAUUUGGAUUAAUACCCCAUGGUACUGUGAAUCUGCAUGGAUUUAUAGUUAAAGAUUUAUCGGUAUAAGAUGGUCAUGCGUUCUAUUAGUUAGUUGGUAAGGUAACGGCUUACCAAGACUGCGAUAGAUAGGGGCCCUGAGAGGGGGAUCCCCCACACUGGUACUGAGACACGGACCAGACUCCUACGGGAGGCAGCAGUGGGGAAUAUUGGACAAUGGGGGCAACCCUGAUCCAGCCAUGCCGCGUGGGUGAAGAAGGCCUUAGGGUUGUAAAGCACUUUCAGUAAGGAAGAAAAAGUUGGGCUAAUAACCUGAUCUUAUGACAUUACUUACAGAAGAAGAUCCGGCUAACUCCGUGCCAGCAGCCGCGGUAAUACGGAGGGGGCUAGCGUUGUUCGGAAUUACUGGGCGUAAAGCGCACGCAGGCGGUUUGUUAAGCUAGAUGUGAAAGCCCUGGGCUCAACCUGGGAAUUGCAUUUAGAACUGGCAGGCUAGAGUUUUGGAGAGGGGAGUGGAAUUCCAGGUGUAGCGGUGAAAUGCGUAGAUAUCUGGAGGAACAUCAGUGGCGAAGGCGACUCCCUGGUCAGUAACUGACGCUCAUGUGCGAAAGUGUGGGUAGCGAACAGGAUUAGAUACCCUGGCAGUCCACGCCGUAAAC